AGUGAACGUUGGCGGCGUGCCUAACACAUGCAAGUCGAGCGCGUUCCGGGGGCAACUCCGGGACGAGCGGCGAACGGGUGAGUAACACGUGGGUAAUCUCCCUCCGAGUGAGGAAUAAGCCCCCGAAAGGGGGUCUAAUACCGCAUGACGCCGUGGGGCAUAUGCUCCCAUGGUUAAAGCCGUAAGGCGCUUGGAGAUGAGCCUGCGUCCUAUUAGCUAGUUGGUAGGGUAACGGCCUACCAAGGUUAUGAUGGGUAGCCGGCCUGAGAGGGUGAUCGGCCACACUGGGACUGAGACACGGCCCAGACUCCUACGGGAGGCAG
rnacentral:rRNA from 1 species